UAGAUAUAGCAGCUAUUCUCUGAUAUGUAUUAGAUGCUUCUGAGCAAAUCAUACUCUCCUUUCUUCUUCCACAUUCACACUGAAGAUCAACCUUUGCACAGCAGGAUGUUGUUGGGCAGGAUGAAGAAGGAUGACAUGGAGCCAUACAUGGAUGAUUACAAUAUAGUCUUGGAAUAGUACAUGGCUGUUUACACUCUUCAUCUAUAAGACAUUCCCCUUUAUGACAGAUUCUUUUACAUUUGUGCAUUCCACAUUUUAACAUCUGAUUGCAGCGAAGUCCACAGGAAAUGUCAGUGAGAUGACAGGGAAUAUUGCUUCGCAGUUCAUGUUUGCCCAUACACCAUUUCUGAGUGAGAUAGGUACAGGGUGGACACUUCUCC
rnacentral:lncRNA from 1 species